AACAGGUGGCUUCAGCUGGUGCCUGUAGCAGGCAGGGGGUUUUCAGUGGUCACCAACUGGUGACCUGCCAGGACAGCGUGUCCUCAUGUCUUUUCCCAGUGCAUGUUGUCCCCCCUCAGCCUUGGUGUCAUGAGGCUCAACGCUGGCUCUCCUUGGGAAACUUGCUGUCACAGUGGUGACUAUGUGGCUGUUCCAGUUCACUGUCAAAGCAGCUAAAGCAACCUGUUGGAGCUUUGGGCCUGCUGUGAUCACCAGUAAACUGGGGGAGGGAGAAGAUCAUCUUUCAUUUGGAGGAAGGAGAAGUUUCACAGCUGUGAGGAAACAGUUACAGAGACAAGACUUGCUGAAAUGAAAACGAACUAAUUAUCAUGGAACAUGAUUUUUCUACAAGUUAUUUGGGUGCGAGAGUUAACCAGCUAUUGGCUUUAGGGCCUCUGGUUCUUGCAGCUUUCUGACAGUGUUUUGUGGAGCAAAUGGAUAACCUGUCCUGAAGCCACUUCAGAUGAGUGAUGGUGGCAGGUUGCUGAUCACUUCAGACCAGAACCUUUGGUCAGCAAGGAGCUUCCUUUCCCCAAAGGAUGAAUUCCUGUCAACGCGGUGGUUCUUUGACAUUCUGCUGUGAAGAUGGAAGAAAUAUGCCUGUAGCAACAUAGCAAUGGCAAGGGCUUCAGCUAUAUCAGUCAUGACCACCUAUGGGAUAACUGCAAGAUACUUUUUCAUCAAGUGCAAUUUGAGUUUAAGAAGUUCCCACCCACACACUCACUGGUUGAUGUGCUUCUUACCCCACAGAUUGCUCUCCUUGUCUCUGCUGAUAUAGACUUGCAGAACUGUGCUGUAAGCCAACUCACGAAAUCAUCCAGGUUUAAAAAAAAAAAAUAAAUCCUUCUUCUGGUUUCUGUGCAGAUUAUUUCACUCUUUAAUAUCUACUGACCACAU